rnacentral:rRNA from 1 species
GACGAACGCUGGCGGCGUGCCUAAUACAUGCAAGUCGAACGCUUCUUUCCUCCCGAGUGCUUGCACUCAUUUGGAAAGAGGAGUGGCGGACGGGUGAGUAACACGUGGGUAACCUACCCAUCAGAGGGGGAUAACACUUGGAAACAGGUGCUAAUACCGCAUAACAGUUUAUGCCGCAUGGCAUAAGAGUGAAAGGCGCUUUCGGGUGUCACUGAUGGAUGGACCCGCGGUGCAUUAGCUAGUUGGUGAGGUAACGGCUCACCAAGGCCACGAUGCAUAGCCGACCUGAGAGGGUGAUCGGCCACACUGGGACUGAGACACGGCCCAGACUCCUACGGGAGGCAGCAGUAGGGAAUCUUCGGCAAUGGACGAAAGUCUGACCGAGCAAACGCCGCGUGAGUGAAGAAGGUUUUUCGGAUUCG